AGCCAGCUCCAGCACACCACUGCACAGGAGAUCAGAUGGGUCCUGUAAGUAGGAGAAGCCGGGCCUUGGUUCUUCUUGCAGGCCUCUAUGAUCUGUGUGGCUCCAAGGAAGACCCAGAGAAGUCUACCCAGCGGUGUCCCCCAACCCCCCGAAGAUCUGAGUUCAGAGGAGGAGCUGGACACACUGGAGGUACCCAGACUGGGGUUCCUGGGGUCUUCUCACUUCCUAGAGGGACAGCUCCUGGCGGAAGAGAGGAUUCUCCUCAAAUGCCUUGAGGCUGCAGCCCAGCACCCCAGCCUGAGGUCACACAGAGUCUUGACCAUCAACCUUGCCCACGUGGCACUGUGGGCCUUUAUGGGGUUGGCCUUCCUGCUGGGGCAAUACUCUCUGUUUGGGUUUGAUGUUCCAUGCUUGUUUCAUUACCACUCCUAUCCUUGUCCCCCUAAUACUGACUGCUUUGUGUCCAGGGCCGCAGAGAAGGUGAUCUUUCUGAAUUUCAUAUUUGGGGUGGGAGUGGGAUUCUUUCUGCUGAACCUGGUGGAGCUGUAGUACUGGGGCAGGGUCUUCCCCUGCCAGCCCCUCUCUGUGGCCUGUGCCAGCUGCUGCCACUUAUGGGGUGGCCUGCCCAUCCUCCCCUGCUCCAUUCUGAUGAGACAGUCCUGGGCUCCAGGUGCCCUUCUGCCUGGAGGUGUAGGCCGGGUCAGUGCAGGCCCCAGCGCAGCACGCCUCAGGCUCCCUGCCUGAUGGUGAGAGGCAACCGGCUCAAGGUAGCAGCAGAGACCUGAGGUCUGACUGGGCAACGCCACCCGGCAAAAAACCCUGCCAUCGCCAUCACUCUCCUGCUUUAUCCUUGAGGUUGGGGAAUCCUGCUUCCUCUUGAAAGCAUUACCUCAACAGAUGUAGGGUAGCAAAGUGAUUAAGAGCAAGGCUUCUGGAACCAGACUGUCUGGGUCCAAAUCCCAGCUCUGGACUUCCCUGGUGGUUCAGUGGGUAAGAUUCUGCACUCCCAAUGCAGGGGGCCUGGGUUCGAUCCCUGGUCGGGGAACCAGAUCCCACAUGCCGCAAGUAAGACCUGGCGCAGCCUAAGUAAAUAAAUAAAUAAAUAUUAAAAAAAAAAAAACUAAAAACAAAUCCCAGCUCUGCCAUUUAGCAGCUGUACAGCCUUGGACAAGUUGCUUAACCUCUCUGUGCCUCAGUUCCUUUACCUGAAAAAAAUGGGAAUAAUAAUAAACCCUACCUCCUAAGAAUGUUGUGAGGAU